CGGUGGCGAUGCGCUUAGGGGUAACACCCGUUCCCAUCCCGAACACGAUGGUUAAGACCUAAGCGGCCGAUGGUACUUUACUGGAGACGGUACGGGAGAGUAGGUGGCUGCCGGGUU
rnacentral:rRNA from 2 species